rnacentral:rRNA from 1 species
UACAGAGGUCUCAAGCGUUGUUCGGAUUCAUUGGGCGUAAAGGGUGCGUAGGUGGCGCCAUAAGUCAGGUGUGAAAUCUCGGGGCUCAACCCCGAAACUGCACUUGAUACUGUGGUGCUCGAGUACUGGAGAGGAGAUUGGAAUUUACGGUGUAGCAGUGAAAUGCGCAGAUAUCGGGAGGAACACCAAUUGCGAAGGCAGCUCGCUGGGACGUCACUGACGCUGAGACGCGAAAGCGUGGGGAGCAAACAGG